CCCUGUGUUAUGUAAUUAGCAUAAUCUGAAUAGACUGUUGAGUGAUUUAUAUCUUUUAUUUUUAAUUACAUAGUAAAACACCUAAAAAGAGCAAUCUGUGUGUAAAACUACUGGCAUAAAUUUUCAUGAGUGCUAUAAAAUGAUUAUGAUAGCAUAUAUUUGAAGAAAAGCGCUGCAUGCUUUGACAACUUGCUGUUUCAAUUUCAGUGUCUCUCCAGUAGUGGACAGCAAUGAUGUAUUGAUAACAAGAGCCCAGAUGAUCCACAGCAACGACAGAAAGGAGGAGAUAGACAGUAAGACAACCAAAAUAAAGAGCAAGUGCAUUCUGAUUAGCUGAUCUUCUCCUCAUCAUCCUAAAGAAGAGAAAUAUCAUUUGCAAGCAGGCAGUGUUUCACUAGCUGGGCUUCCAUCACCAUGCUUUUAUGCACAUUUUAAAGUAUUGCAUCAGAAUCGAGAGAUGGAAAUGCUGAAUUAUGAAUAAAAAUGCCUUAUUUUGCAAAAAAAAAUUUCCGCUUGCUUGAGGUGGUUUUCGACUUGUGCGAAAACUGCAUUCAUUGUGUUUCAUCUGCUCGUUCUGAGGUGCAAGUAAUUUAUUAUAUAUGAAAAUUAUUAUAUUCAGUAGCUUCUUCUACUUUUCUUAGUAAUGUAUAGUGCCAGUUUAUCAGGAAGUGACAAUUUUGUUCUCUUUGAUUCGUUGGAUGGAAACGCUGCUUGUUCGCAAAUGUUUUGUGUGAUAUUCCAAUUUUGCGCAUAAGUUAAAUUCGCACCUUUGGAUGUAAACCCAGCUAGUGUCUGAGCUCUAGUGUUUACUGCAAACACAAUACAAGAGAGACAUUAUACUCAGGAAAUCACACUUACCUCAUUCCUGUGACUGAAAUGUUUGGCUAGUUAGGCAGCAGGAAAUAUCACAAUGAUACCUCAGAUGUUCACUGGACCUUUCGUCCUUUUUGACACUGUUACUUUUUUAAUUAAUAUGUGGAUAUGGUCACAAACUGUUAAACUGUCACUGUAGAGGAUUGCGCCUGUAUUCUGUAUUCUUUUAUCUGUAUGAAAUAAAACAUGCAUAUUCAUCUGCUAUCCAACAUGCAUUCAUUUGGAAAAUGAAACAAUGUUUUAGUUUUUCCUAAAUGUUCAAUCAUUGUAAAAAUGUUCAUUGAUAAUCAUGAUCUAUGAUGGUCCUGGUGACUAGAGCCCUCAUCGGCUGAGGAUCCCUGAGGAUUCUUCUGUUGUGGCAAAAAUUAAAUCAAUUCUCAUUAGCAUAAGAGACAGGCUCACUCUCAAAUUUAUAAUUAAAAAAGAAGCUUUUAUUCUUUGCAAAGAAGGUCAGACAGUCAUACAGAAACACAAGUCGCUGCAGAGUGUGACAAAGGAAGGGAGGGCAGUCCUCUGCUUUAUAUCUCUUUUACCCCCGUCAAGGUUACAAACUCUUAGCAGCUGUACUUUUCCAUAGAAAACAAAGAAUUCAUAAACACACUCUUCUAAAGGUUGGUUCCCCCCAUUUAGGGCUUGGAUGACCCCCCCAGGUCAUCCUCAGGCAUAUGUUUCCCCCAUUUCUGUGGCCCAAAUGGCCUCUCAGGCCAUUCUGACAUCUGUUCUCCCCCCAGGUGUCUCCCUUUUGCACCCACACGGCUCCGUGAAUCACCUGUUGCCCAUUACUCUCAGGCCCUAAACC
ensembl:lncRNA